rnacentral:lncRNA from 1 species
AGCGGAAUAGUUUUCAAAUCAUUAGCAUCGUGAACAUCCAACAACAUUUUAUGGCACUAAAGGCAUCAGCAUAAAGUCAACAACAUUGUUCAAAUAACAAUAAAAAGGCUCCACAUCAUAAUUCCAAAAUUGAUACAUAAGGAAUGAAAAUAAAUAUAACUAAUUCCCAUCCCGUACGUAUCAGAGCCCUAGACAGUUGAGCCACCACCUACUACUCAGGAUCACCUGCAAGUUACCCAUAGGAAGGGCAACAUUUUCAAGCAGAAGGGGUGCGAUUCACAACAAUAAAUAUAGAUAUUAAAAUCUUCAAUUGAAUCUAACACCCUAAACAACAAACACAUCAUCUUGCAAAUAUAAGUAUAUAAUUCACAAGCAACAAUACACAUUGUAACGCCCUAGUAGUAUUUUAUUUAUUUUAGAAUUAUUUGGAGUCUUUUGUGUAUUUUGUUUUUAAAAUAUUAUAUAUGAUUUAUGUGGUGUGUAGAAUUUAUUUUAUAAUUUAUUUAAUAUAAAUGGAACAAUAAGAGGAAUUGACUUAUUUUAGAAAUUAGGGAGUUAAUUAGGAGUUAAUAGUAAUUAGGAGGGGUUUAAUGAAAUAAGGGAAGUUACACUUUGAGGGAUUAAGGAAAGAAAGAUUAAGGAAAACAGUUUUACGUGAAAACAUUUGUGUUGGAGAGAAGACCUAGAGAAAGCAAGAGAAACCAAUAACAAGGGGGAAAACUUAGGAGCUGUUUUGCUGUGUUAAUUCUUCCUGCAAUUCUAAGGUAAGGGUGAGAUUUAUCGCAAUAGUAUAGAUUCUAAAUUCUGAAUUUGAUUUCUAACAGGUUUAUGUGAGAAUUGGGAAAAAAAAUGGGUUUUUGAUGAAUUAUUGAAUUUUGUGAGUAGAAUUUGUUAUAUUGAUGGUAGAAAUGGUUUCUGAGUGCCUAUAACCUUUCAUUUCAUAUCUGUAAACCAAUUUGGGGAGAGAAUGGAAGAAAAAUGGGAUUUUUGGGUGAAAAUCGCAGAAUUCACGUGUCUGAAACCGUCGCGCCUCGCCUGGCGAAGCAUUUUCGCCUGGCGAAAUAUCGCCUUUAGCUCGCCCUGGCUAGCUGUCUGGCGAGCUGUUUUGCAGAAUUCCCGAGAGAACCCAGGUUGAGUCCGCCAUGGCGAGUAGACCCCUCGCCUGGCGAGAAGCCAGUUUUCGCAGCCUUCGCCUGGCGAACCAAGUCAUCGCCUGGCGAGUUUACCCAGUUUUGAGUUGUUUAAUUUCUGUUUUGAUCUAUGUUGAAUGAACCCUGAUGGGUGUGCAUGAAUAUGAUUAACUGUGUUUUCUGGAAUUGUUGGAUGAUUAAGGUGAGCUAUUUCGAUGGUGGUGUAUAACUUUAUUUAAUUCAAAACAUACAUGAUGUGAAAUUGUGGAGUUGUGAGUCAUAUACAUAUAUAUACAUUUUGUCGGAGUUGUAUGUAUAUAUACAUAAGGGGUUAGUUGCAUAAGCAUAAUAGCGGUGAGGACUUCGGUCCUGGAAUGCCUUGUCAUUCAAAGUGGAGGAACACAAUGUUGUUCAAAGCGGUGUUUAACGGUGAGGACUCAUGUCCUGAUGAAAGAAUGCUUUAACCAUUCUAUAGCGGUGAGGGCCUCGGCCCUGUUAUGGUACCACAUGCAUUAUAGAGGAGUCUUAGUGGAGUGGUGGAGUGUUGCAUGAGUGGAUAUUUGUUGGUUUUAAAUUACCAUUAUUGUUGAUAUUGAUUAUGAUGAUGUUAUAAAAUAUUGAUGAAUUAUUAUUAUGAUAGGGUGAUAGAUUUAAUUGAUGGAUUUAUUAUCUAUAUUAUUGUUGUGAAUCUCACCCCUUCUGCUUGAAAAUGUUGCCCUUCGUAUGGGUAACUUGCAGGUGAUCCUGAGUAGUCGGCGGUGGCUCAAGUGUCGUGUCUAGGGCUCUGAUACGUGGGAUGGGACUUAUUUUGCUUGAUUUCUUCCUAUGUAUCAAAUUUUGAAUGUUGUCAUUGUAGCCCUAUUGAAUUCACGAAUUUCUUGUUGAGGCUUUAUGCCAAGAAUAUUUGUUGGAGAAUAUUUAUGUUUGAUGUUAUUGCUAUUCACGGUUGAAUAUUUUCCGCUGCAAGGUUCUAAUGAAGUAAUUAAGUUGGUUUCUAUUAAAUAGUUUUAUUUCUCUAUUUAAGAAAUUUUGAAGUUGAAAAGGAAGUGUGACAUGCCCGUUGGGGUUUUACUCUGAUUAUUAUUAUUAUUAUUAUAAUUGAUUAUUUGGGAACGGGGUGUUAACAUCACCAAAAUCCAUCCAUCACAAUAUGUAUAUAAAUAUAUAUUCAUCAACAACAUCAUCAUCAUCAAGGUGACAACUACAACCAACAACUAAGACUCAUGCAAAUGACAUGACGACACUGCUAAGACAACACCUUAGACUCCUCAAAUAUGCAAAUAUGCAUGUGGUACCAAACAGGACCGAAGCCCUCACCGCUUUUGAAUGGUUAAAGCAUUCAUCAGGACCGAAGCCCUCACCGCUGUGAACAACUAGUGCUCCAGGACAUGAGUCCUCCCCACUGUUUAUGCAUAUGCAAUGGACCCACUUGUGUAUAUCUACAUACAACUAGAUCAUGCAUACAUUCUUCAUAUGACUCCAACUUAUACAACAUGUAUGAUUCAAUAAUUAUAACAUACAUUCAACCAUCAGCUGCAUCAUCAAACAGUGAUCCAACAAUCUAGAAUAAUUAAUCCAACAGCUCCAGAAAUUAACACAUUUAAAUCACACAUAAUUUACCUUUGUUCAUCAAUUAAUAUCUAAUCAAUUCAGUUCAUCAUCUGAAACAUACACUUAAAUAAUAAUAAAAUUAAGUGCAAUUUUUACUAUCAUCCUUACAAGAAAAUCACAUUGAAGCUAGAAUACAUUAAUUAACUAAUAUAGUAGUAAGAUAUAACCUUAAGCUUAACCCUAUGAACCUACCACGUUCGACAACAAAAGGUCUAAGAGAAAGGGACAUAAUUUCACAGGUAGUUAUUUCAUAUAGUUUUAUAUCAAUAUUGAUUGGUUUCUACCAUAAAUAUGGUUACAUGCUACUAACCUAUAUGGAUGCUAUAAUCACUAAUUCACAUCACGUCAUAUAGUGGAGUAGAACUAGGAUAUGGGUAUUCAAUCUCUUCUUGCCUAAAUUCAUAAUUCCAACACUUCUUGAUACAAGUUGCAGUAGCGUAUUUCUCUGUAUUUAUUUCCAUGCGCAAAAUUUAUAUAUCGUACAACACUUCUUAGUUAGGUAUACUACUAAUCCGACCGUGCCGUCCUAUCGGUACCCAAAAGGGUAACUAAAAAUCGAUAAACUCCUCUCUAUAAUCAUGAGUUUAGCACAACAACAGUAUGAAUUAAGAGAUAGGAAUAUAAAGUCACAGCAACAAUUUAGAACACAAUUUUAACAUGAAUUCAUCAACCUAUUGUAUUAUCCUCUCUUUUCACCAUUCAAUUUUAUGAUUUCUACACUUUCUCAAUCCAAAAUUCAUUCUUAAAACCUAACCCCCAAAUUAACCAAAACCCUCAUGUUAAAAUCAAAAUCAGAAUUAUAAUCUAUACUAUUGAAGCAAACCUCACCAUUACCUUAGAUUGAAGGACAUAACUCUACAGAAAAUCCGAUUCUCUUCACUUGGCUCUCCUCUUGGUUUCUCCCAAAACUGAUGUAAGUGAA